GAGGUGAACAUCCAUAGUAUCAUACAAAUUUCUCAGCUGCCUCCUCCAAAACUGGCAUCAGCAGAAGAGCAAUCGAUGCUGGUCUUGCUAUGUUGCCCAGGGUAGUCUCAAACUCUUGGCCUCAAGCGAUCAUCCUGCCUCAGCCUCCCAAAGCAGUGGAAUUACAGGUGAGAGAAAUGAGGCAUCAGACAGAUAACUUGUAAGUUCUCAAAGUUUACAAUGGUAAAGCCAGGCCGGGUGCAGUGGCAUGCACCUGUAAUCACAGCAACUCAUGAGACUAAGGCAGGAGGACCUCUUGAGCCCAGGAGUUUGAGGUUUCAGUGAGCUAUGAUCAUGCCACUGCACUCCAACCUGGGCAAUAGAGCAAAACCCUGUCAAUCAAGCAAGCAAGCAGACAAGCAAGGAAGCAAGCAGCAGAGCCUCUGCAUGAGCUCAUGAAUGGCUGCUGUGGAAAAUUACUGACAUCACCAGCUGAAUAACAGGCUAUCUGGAGAGUAAGCAGAUGAAACUGAUGUUAAAUUAUCAAAUGUACAAGAUUUUGGGCUCCUGCCAAAACCUUCAUUGAGAACUAAGAAGAGAAAAAGUGAAAACACAGAGCUUUUUUUAAGCUUCUGAGCCAGCAGGCUGUUCCU
rnacentral:antisense_RNA from 1 species